GAUUCCAUUUGGCAUUUAGUUAAGGUAUAAGAGGCAUGAGGCAAGCAAGUGACUGGAUUUUUACAUGAAAUGCUAUGCAUGUAGAUGGAAAGUGAAGAGCCUCCAAGUGUUCUAAUUAUUGCUACCAUCGGGCACAAUCCAAGGAGUCAAAUGUUAAAUAAUCAAUGGCUUUCUGGGAGGUAGUUUAUGGUAAUUAGCUUUGGGGGUGAGAAAUAUCAUACAAAUUGUUGGCAACUCAACUAGAAUCAUUAAAGUUGGAGAAAAGGUGCACAUCAAUUUUUAUUGACACUGGAGAUUACAUUAUACACUUGCUAAUGAGCAAGACUGAGUUGACUGCUAAUGCAGAGAUGAUGUGUCCAGAAAGCCUGUACUUCAGUCAAGUAGCUACCUCACUGUAGCAUACUGAAAUAAGCACAAGGAUUCUCUGUUACCAGAAUCUUUCUGAUUUUAGGGAAAACUGAAAACUAAAAGGGAUUAAGUGGUCUUUUUGAAGAACUUCAGUGGUCUUUGCAAUUCUCUAUUGAUCAAUGAAUGUUACAAAAUUAUAUUACAACAUAGUACAAUUAUGUCACUUUUUUUACUCAUAUGCUUAAUAUGUCGAUAGCCCAAAUGUGUCUCAGAUUAAAAGAAAAGUAAUGAUGAGAGCUGAUGUGGAAGGGAAGUAGGAUGCUGGGGGACACAAAGACAUGAUUUGAAGUAGAAGAGGGGAACUAGUGGCGUGUAAAACUAAUGAUGUUGAAGAGAACUUUACUUUGGGAUGAUGGAAAAAAAGGUAUAUUAGAAGAAUAAGGAACAUCAAAGUUGCAGAGGAGAGAAAACAUUUUAAUAAGAGAUUGAUCACAGUGAAGAAAAGUG